rnacentral:rRNA from 1 species
UGGGGAAUAUUGCACAAUGGAGGGAACUCUGAUGCAGCGACGCCGCGUGAGUGAUGAAGGAAUUCGUUUCGUAAAACUCUGUUCUAUGGGAAGAAAAGGACUGUACCAUAGGAGAAAGCUCCGGCUAAAUACGUGCCAGCAGCCGCGGUAAUACGUAUGGAGCGAGCGUUGUCCGGAAUUAUUGGGCGUAAAGGGUGCGCAGGCGGCUUUACAAGUUGGAUGUGAAAUAUUGUGGCUCAACCACAAACGUGCAUCCAAAACUGCAAAGCUUGAGUUAAGGAGAGGUAAGUGGAAUUCCUGGUGUAUCGGUGGAAUGCGUAGAUAUCAGGAGGAAUACCGGUGGCGAAGGCGACUUACUGGACUUAAACUGACGCUCAGGCACGAAAGCGUGGGGAGCAAACAGG